AGCUAUUUUCAUCUCAGCAUGAAAGAAAUGCACCAUCCUCUCCUCAAAAAUAAAAAUCUCUAAUGAAGAAAACAGUACAUUAAAUGCCACAACUGACGUGCUACUAGAAAUAGGAAGAAGUAGUUACUGCUUUCCAAGGCAGACACCACGAUGCUUUCUGUUUCCCUCUGCUUGGCUAAAACUCUGGGCAAGCCCCAGGCUGGGGAGGUGGGGGGACCCUGAGUCCUACCCGGGAGCUCUACGGGACAGUCUCAGUUUAGGCAGGGCCCUGCACGACCGGUCCCAAAGGCCUCGCCUCAACAGGCGCGGGCCGGGCGGGCGGGUUCGCCUCCCGAGCCCGCCCCAGGAUGUCCAGAGGCGCUUUCAGCUGCGAUAAGACGCCGCCCUAACCAGGUGUUGACAGUUACUCCCGCGCGGCCGACGCCCGCUCAGCUGGAGACGCUUCGUCACCGCCUCCGCGCGUCGUCACGUGACGGGAAGGGGGCGUGACCGAGCCCGACCACAGGGGGCGGGGCGGGGCGGGUCCUCGAAUGUGAAGGAGCUUGGCGGCUCCGGAGGCCCAGAGCGGCGGCGGCGCGGCCGAUGACAGCAUCAGGCCGCGACGCGUUCCCGGGCGGGCGGCGGUGGUAGCAGCCCCAGCGGCUGCAGCGAUAGCUGUCGUCGGCGCGGUAGCCGCUGCCGGUAGCCCGCAGACAGAGGGAGGUGGGGGCCCGCCCCUGCUGGCAGACCGUAGGGCCGGCGUUCCCGCCCUCUUCGCGGGCCGAGCGGGCACUGCCUUCUCGGCCGCGAGGCAGCGCCCUUGGGCUGGGCUCGUGCCCCAGCUGCCGCCGGCGACUGCGGCCGAGAGAAGUUGGGGUCCGACUGGACGCGUGCGGGGCCCCACAGGAACCGACCGCCCGCGCCCCGCCUCUCCGGGGGCUCCGCACCGGAGGACCACAGUUAAUGUGAAGCCGAAUUAAGAGAAUUUCAAGGUCAACCCCAGUUGCAGAGUAACGUCUUUCAAGCUCCCGUGUGCAUAUGCAUGAGGCAGGGGAUGGGGGUGAAGACAGACUUCAGCCAUUUGGAGGUGCAUUUUCUUGGUGACAUAUUUUUGUCUAAUGUUUUUUAAAGCAAAAACAUAUCAACAUAUGCUGUCUGUAAAAUUGAACAGCUACAGAAGCUCAUCCAGUUAGUUUCUGUUGCCACUAGACCCCACUUUAUGUCCCGAAGAAUCUGCUUGUUAUCAGUUUGGUAUUAUUCUUCCAGGUAUUCUUCCCCUUGUCCCUCCUUCCCCUAAUCCCCCACCCCCACCCUGUAUAUGUACAUGUAUGUAUAAUUAAAAAAAAAAACAGAACUGGGAUUAUAAUUCUGUUUUGCAGUUUUUUUCCACCAGUCAAAACAUAUUACAUAUAAAAGGCUGAAUCUUAAUAAUUCUUCCCAUUGAAUUUGUAUUUUGCUCUCUGAACAUCAAACUGAGUCUUGAGAGUGGGGUUCUGGUUUCUUUUGCUCCAUGAUCUUGGGCAAGUCACUUAAUCCCUCUAUGAUUAGUUUCCCCAUCUGUAAAAUUUAGAGAUGGUCAGUGAUUGAUUUGAAGAUUUCUAAUAUCUCUAAGGGCUUCCCAGAUGGUUCAGUGGUGAAGAAUCCUCCUGUCGGGCAGGAGUCAGAGGUUCAAUCCCUGGGUCGGGAAGAUCCCCUGGAUAAGAAAAUGGCAACGCACUCCAGUAUUCCGCCUGGGAUCCCGUGGACAGAGGAGUGUGGCGGGCUAUAGUCCACGGGGUCACAAGGAGGAGGACGCAACUGACGGACUGACCAACGACAGAGGAGAGGAGAUGUGCUCUGAGGCAGGAGCUGUGCUUUCUGCUCCUCGGCUUUCCACUUUGCAAUUACUGGCUAAGUAAAAUUUUCGCAAAAUGCUUGAGAAGGCAGAGCAGUCUCUGAGUGAGGUGGUUUGGCUUUGGAAUUAGCGUUGCUCUGUUCUUACUGUGAAUAUUACAUUUAUUUCCUGCUUUCAGUGUCUUCAGUUGCUCAUUCUAUUUCCUUUUCAUUUUUCUCUGGUUUUAAUUAUUUUAACCUUUUUUUAACCCAUAGUGUUCUUUGUCCUUUAAACUUGUAGGGACUCUUCGUAUUCCUAAUCUUAAGCUUAUGUUUUUCUGAUAUUUUCUUGUCACUUUUAUAUCUUUUGAAUUUCUCUGGCCUUUAUAUUUGAAUUUUUGUGCUUAAACCCUUUUUAAACAAUUAGCUAUUUUUUUCAAAUAGCAUUUUAUUAAGGCAGAGACACAAGAAUAAAGAAGAAUAAUUGAGAAAACGAAUGACUCCAACUGUGGCUUGCCCAGGGCGAGCUUUAGUUUGUUUUUAUUGACACAUGUAUUCUUUUUUCUAUAAACCUGGCUGCUGGGUUGCAUAGUUCUUUUAUGAUGGGCUUCGAAUAUAUCACUACUACUACUACUACUAAGUCACGUCAGUUGUGUCCGACUCUGUGCGACCCCAUAGAUGGCCAAAAAGUUCAGUUCUUCCAUAAUCUUAUGGGAAGACAGAACAAACGUUUUGGUCAGCCUAAUGCUUCACACUCUGAGUAAGAGAUUCAGGGUGACUUGUCCUCUCCACUUACCCAGGAGUAGCUCUCAGGGCUUCCGGUAACAGGCUUUCCUAUUCCUUUAAAUUUUCAAAUUUUCCUAGCUUUAACCUGAGUAUGCAUUAUGGGCAAAUUUCCCACCUCUAAAUAAAAUAAGUCUAUUUACAGUGAUAAAGCCUUGGAGCUAUACAUAAAAGGACUGCUGUCCUGUUUCUUAUCAUCCCUUUAAUUAUUUUGGAGGUGUUUGAUUUUAAAAGUUUCACAAUCUUCAUUUUAAAAACAAUAAAUAAUCUUUAGCAGUAUUAGCCUCCCCAGAUCUGCUUUCAAUAAAAAGUGAAAAGAAAAAACAGUGGUGGGUCUUGCCUAAUGGUUUACUGCUAAUCUUAUUAUUAAAAACUUUUUUCUAAUUUAUAUUUCUUUAGUAGCUUCCUUUUUUAGUGUACAUAGAGGAAAUUCUUUGAAAACUAUUUUAUGAUAUAAUACCCUAUUGUCAUGAAAAAUGAAUGUUAAAGAGACAAGCAUUUGUGACUGAUAAAUCAAUAAUUGUUUAUGUCUUCAUAGAGACUUCAGUUAUUACUUGGAUGUGUAACAGACAGGCCCAAAAAAACAAAGGUAGAUGAGGUCAUUCUUCAGCCUCUGGGCCGCGGCCUCUGACUGGUCAUAGCUCUGAGGUGGGUGAAGCAGGUGAAACCUCGUUUUCCAGCUGACUGUCCCUAUAUAAGGUCCUUUCUCCAUAAGAGAUUUGAGUGGAUUCAGUCCUGUAGCUGUGCUGGCCUCACUGGAGCUACAUUGCUGCUACUCGGGUUAAAGGUCAGCAUUAUUGUCCUUUAAUAUUCUGUCUCUCAUUGUGCCAUCUCAUUCUGCAUUUCUGAAUGUUCCUCAUUCUCGCAACUAAAUAGCUCAGAUUAUUACUCUUUUGGCCAAGUCUUUAGACAGAAGGCUUCCCAGGUGGCGCUUCGUGGUAAAGAACUGCCUCCCAGUGCAGGAGAUGUAAGAGGCGUGGGUUCGAUCCCUGGGUCUCUAGAAGAUCCCUGGACGAUCACCUGGGGGAGGGUGUGGCAGCCUGCUCCAGUGUUCCUACCUGGAGAAUCCUGAGGACAGAGGAGCUUAGCCGGCUACAGUCCAUACGGUCACAGAGUCAGACACAACUGAAGCAACUUAGCUUGCACGUCCCAGAUACAAAGCAUUGAAAAAACACUUUUCUGUGUAUAAAAUAUACAAAGGAAUUAUUCUGCCACAUAUGUAAAAUCUUAAUAAAUAUUUACGUUAGUUUAAAUGUCAUUAAAAUGCAAAACCUGCACUCUUUUAUUAAACCUUUUUACAUGUAUACAUGUAAAAAUAUUUCAAAAUUAUGAAUACCUAAGAAUCCUAAUCUUGGUCACUUUCAGUUCAGUUCAGUCGCUCAGUCGUGUCCGACUCUUUGUGACC
rnacentral:lncRNA from 1 species